GGCUGUUACUUCUUUUGUUUCUCCUGAGAAGGCUUCUAUCAACUGUCCGAUGCGGAAGCUCAUGGACAAGCAUCGCGAUGCCGUAAAAAGAGAUUUCCUGUUUCUACACAAUUAAACUAAAUUCAGAAUGCCGGAGUGUUUUCUUACUACAAUGAGUAUUUAGGAGCAUGCCAUUGAAUUCAAGAAUUCAUGUGUUCUGGUGCUUCUGACGGUUUGAUGGUUAUAGAGAUCUGUCAGUAAACGUAUUUUCAAAGUGUUGUGCACAUCACCGUUGAAUCAAAGUACUGCAUUUGACACUAAUAGAAACUCAAUUACUUCAGAGUGAAGCACACAAGAAUGUGGACACUGAUUCAUAUGUCUUGGCCAAUGAGGGGUCGUGGAUAGAAAAAUACAAUUAUGUCCUGAG